rnacentral:rRNA from 1 species
UACGUAGGAGGCGAGCGUUGUCCGGAUUUACUGGGCGUAAAGGGAGCGUAGGCGGACUUUUAAGUGAGAUGUGAAAUACCCGGGCUCAACUUGGGUGCUGCAUUUCAAACUGGAAGUCUAGAGUGCAGGAGAGGAGAAUGGAAUUCCUAGUGUAGCGGUGAAAUGCGUAGAGAUUAGGAAGAACACCAGUGGCGAAGGCGAUUCUCUGGACUGUAACUGACGCUGAGGCACGAAAGCGUGGGGAGCAAACAGGAUUAGAUACCCU